rnacentral:rRNA from 1 species
UGGGGAAUAUUGGACAAUGGGCGAAAGCCUGAUCCAGCCAUGCCGCGUGUGUGAAGAAGGUCUUCGGAUUGUAAAGCACUUUAAGUUGGGAGGAAGGGCAGUAAGCGAAUACCUUGCUGUUUUGACGUUACCGACAGAAUAAGCACCGGCUAACUCUGUGCCAGCAGCCGCGGUAAUACAGAGGGUGCAAGCGUUAAUCGGAAUUACUGGGCGUAAAGCGCGCGUAGGUGGUUCGUUAAGUUGAAUGUGAAAGCCCCGGGCUCAACCUGGGAACUGCAUCGAAAAAUGGCGAGCUAGAGUAGGGCAGAGGGUGGUGGAAUUUCCUGUGGAGCGGUGAAAUGCGUAGAUAUAGGAAGGAACACCAGUGGCGAAGGCGACCACCUGGGCUCAUACAGACACUGAGGUGCGAAAGCGUGGGGAGCAAACAGG